UCCUGUGCAGCAGCAUGGCCGCUCAACACUUCUCUUCCCUUCCUUUUUCUGAGCUCCAAGUCAAGUCAAGCUCCAGCUCCUUAUACCCUGCCGCUCCAAAUACAUUAUUUACACUCUCCUCCCCUCCCUUCAGCUCAGCUCAAAAGAAUCAGGGCAGAGGGAAAUAACACCACUGUAUAACCUCCCCCCUCUCCCCCAUGCACUGACACACACAUUGCACACACCAGCUCAAACCUCUCUCCACCAGCACCACCCCACCUGCUCGCUCUUUUCUCACUCUGCGGGAUGAAAAUACAGUGCAGGGCUGGGCUGCGACAAUGGGAAACUCUGUGAGGCCCCAGCCCUCCCAUUAAUCCCCUCUGACAUGCCUCCCGAGGGCAGGGAUUUGCUACAAGUCAAUGCAGGAGACCCACAAUAUGCAAAACAAGCCUGUCUGACUCUCAAUUUUCAAAGCCACUGCACUGCCUGUGAGACAGGAAGGCAGAUCAGAGAGAGAGGGGAAAAAAAUAACUGUGCUCGCAGUCUGCUUGGUUAACCCUUUCUUCACCCUCCUGCUCAGUGUACGUGUCACUUCCUUCUUCUAGUUUCAUUCCUAGCCUAGGUUGCACAGAUAAUGCUGUUGACAGAUGAGAACUGAUGCUGAAUGAUAUAUUUCCUCUCCCAUUCGGCUCUGCUGCUAUUGUCCUCUUUGUCUCCAUUCAUGACCAAUUCAGCUCAAAGCUGAACCAAAAUAUGAAAACACCCAAUGUAAACAGGAAUUCACAGGUCAUGUGAUGCACUUACUCUUUCUCUCUCUCUCUCUCUCUCUCAGGCAGAGUAGUGCUAUUGAAUGUAAAACUUUAUCAGGGAUCUAUAGAUGAGGAGAUAGGUGGAGGCUGGAGGCAGGGUGGGGGGCAGGAUGACAUUAGAGAGAGGUAGCCAGGGUGCUUAGGUGGGGGGGCUGUCCACACCCUGCAGCUCACACUCAUAAGGAAUGUAAACAACAGAGCUGAAUAGACAGGCUGGGAAUACGCAUGGAGGGAAGAAACCUGCAUGGAAGAAGGGCAGCAGAAGAAGUUAAAUUACCAUAGGGAGAGCAGCAGAGAAAUGGAAAAACAGAUGACAGUAAGGCAUUGCCCCACAGAGGAAGAGAAAUCCGCCAGGAUUUGUAGCCUGCUUUAGUUUCACGUGAUUGGCUCCACUGCUGCCUUCCCUCCGCUUCACACACACACACACACACACAUACACACCCCACACCACCCCUUUUUUUCUCCACCCAUCCUCAGACCCUUUGAGAUGGAAAAAUGGGUCAUCUGUGUGGAAGUUAAUACUCUGAGCACGUACAGUGCUGCUUUAUUUUAAGGACGUGCCUUGGAAAUUUUUCUUCUUCCCUGCCACACUGGUGAAUGACAGAGAAGACGCUGGGUAAUUAAUAUACUGUGUUGCUGCUGUGCACACAAGUGGCAGUGCAGGAGAGAGUCUUUAUUAUAGCUGCUGGCACAGCCUGGACACGUCUCAUAUUUCUCCCCAGCCUGCCCUCUCCAUGACAACGUACAGUAGGCUGCAGACUCUGGCACCACAGCCAUGACAUCAGCAACAGGGCACAGACAGUGUUACUCUGACCAUCUUCAGGCGGUGGGAAAACAUGUUCCAAAACACAGACGCAGGAGGACUCCAGGCCUCCGCGGACGCCUCCACCUAACAGUCAGUGAUCAGCAAAUACCUCCCUGGGAGGUUACUGCACUCAGACGAUCUCAAACGUAGACCGGUGCAGCAGAGAGUCUGCUGCUUUGCAGAGCUACGUGAAGCUGCCAUAGCAACCACAUACAACAGAGUUAUUUCUGGCUGCCUUAAACUCCAAAACACAGCUGCUCCUACAUAACCAGACAUCUCUACCGGACAGAUUAACAACGAGUCACUUCUUCUGCACACGCACUCAGGGCCAGAAGACUCGACAGGCCUCUUGACAGGCUUCUCCUUUUCCACCAAAUGGCAAAAUAGCAGGAGCGCUGGAGAAAAGACUGCAGAGUGAGCACGAGUUCAUGGAACACUGUCUACCAUUUAGUCUUCACUCGACAUUUCUGGGCCGCCGUUCAAUUUUCAUUCCUAAUGUAGAAAAACUAUUUUCCCCUGCUCUCGUUUCCUGGCUACCUCAAGGCCCGGGCUGCUCUGGCCAGAGCACUUAGAAAAACAGCUGCAGACAGGGAUAAAAAUAAUUACAGCUCUAUUUGUCUUCCAAGAGACACACUUUCAACCAGACCUACUCCCUUCCCCUACAAGCUGCUCCACUUUCACUCUCCUGCACACACAAUAAAGCCAUUCACAAUAAGGACACCAAGGCUCAAUGUACUGACACAAGCUCAUGUUUCACCAUGCUGGUUGGAAACAGAAAAACUGUACUCUCUAGAUGGCAAUUCAACUGUUCUGGCAGUGACUGUAUUUUAUUAACCAGUGCCAAGGAUUCAGUAACACACUGAAGGUAUUUUCCAUUUAAAUUUAGCAUAUCUACAUAGCCCCACAAGAUUACAUUACAUUACCUGUUCCUUAAUAUCUUUCUGGUACAAUUCCCCCUUCCUGUGGUGUUUUUUUUUUUAAAUCCUCAGGAAUAUUUAUCCUUGAUUUAUGCACAUAACACUUUCUCUUCAGCAAAUUGACUCUCCAGCUUUCCAAAUAUAAAAACUGUCCACACUCCAUAUUUCAAAUUUUCCUAUGCAUUGCUACUGCCAUCUACUGGCGAAUGGAAACUCAAACUCUAAAUGUGCUUUCAUUAUUUAUUUUAGGAUUUUACACACAAAAAUAUAUCCAGAUAUGAAAGACUGGAAUGUAAAAAUAACAUUUAAGUAACAUUGCAAAAGAAAUUUCAGAAAACUUGACAAUAUUCCACAAACAAG